rnacentral:rRNA from 1 species
AGCUGGCUGGUUUCAUGAGGUGACUUCUGCCCAGUGCUCUGAUUGUCAAAGCGGAGAGAUUCAGCCAAGCGCGGGUAAACGGCGGGAGUAACUAUGACUCUCUUAAGGUAGCCAAAUGCCUCGUCAACCAAUUAUUGACGCGCAUGAAUGGAUCAACGAGAUUCCUGCUGUCCCUAGCUGCCGUCUGGUGAACCAACAGCCAAGGGAACGGGCUUGGAUGCGUCAGCGGGGAAAGAAGACCCUGUUGAGUUUGACUCUAGUCUGAUGCUGUGCAGUGGCAUGGAGGGUGUAGCACAGGUGGGAGGCCUCUGGCCAGCAGUGAAAUACCACUACCUUCACCGCCACUUUGCUCAUUGAGUGAAUGGGGAUCGGCAGCCCUUGGACAUUCGGCCCCUCACCCCCUCCAGGGGGCAGGGGGCUGUGGCUAUCCACCGCCUUCGUGUGCGUCAAGCCCACCAUCACCAACUUGGGUGUGAGGGCAACCCUGGACUUCCCUUUGGGGAAAGCUUUGGGACUCAAGACAUUGAUCAGAUGGGGAGUUUGGCUGGGGCGGCACGCCUGUUACACCACAACGCAGGCGUCCUGAAGCAUUGCUCAGAUGGAACAGAAAUCUCUCCCAGAGGAGUAGGCCAAAGGUGCUGCUGAUGCCGCGGCUCUCAGUGCUAGCCCAGAACAUGCAAGUGUGGCCUAUCGAUCCUUUGGCCAAGACUCACGAAUUCGGGAUACCGAAGCCAGAGGUGUCAGAAAAAUUACCACAGGGAUAACUGGCUUGUGGCAGCCAAGCGUUCACAGCGACGUUGCUUUUUGAUCCUUCGAUGUCGGCUCUUCCUAGCUUGCCACCCGCAGCCGAGUGCCAGAGUUGGAUUGUUCACCCACCAACAGGGAACGUGAGCUGG